rnacentral:lncRNA from 10 species
UAUGAUGCGACCCCUGUACAUGUAGUCCUAAACAUGUGGCUCUCCUUGCAUCACCUGUGCGACACUGCUGCAGUUAUUGCUGUAAUGAACAAUGAUGACUCUGAGUUCCAGAAACUUCAUGCUUGCAUUCAGGAUAACAAGGAAUAAAUACAGAUCAUAAAAACUUACCAAGUUUACUGACAAGCAUGAGAUCCUGUUUGAAACGUGGUUUUCUGAAAGACAUAGAGGAUGGCCCCCAGGCUAACAGGAUUUGAAAGAAGACAGCAAGAGCCAACAGCAGACAGAUGGAAAAGAUUGGAAGACAAUUGUUGGUCGAAGGCUGGGGGUAGGUUGGAACAAGCAGCCCAAAUGGUUUUAGGUUUUAGAGAAGGCUUUUAGUUUUUGCCCUCUCUUCCUAGCAAGAGAAGAAAGGAUCUAGGAAUUCUCAACGUUGGGCUUUGGGUGGGUGGGUAGAGAAUGUGAGAAAUCUAUGUUGUUCACUCUUCUAUGUAAGAGAAGAAAUACCCAAGGUAGGCUUUGGAUAGGUCCCGAAUAGAAGUUACCUUGUUCACUGCUCUCUCUUCUAGGCAGAAAGAGAAAGGAUUAAUUAGUUCCCAAAGCUGAAGCAGGCUUUGGACAUUGCAGCUGCUAAACUGCUUGGACCUGAAGGGAGCGGUAUCUCACUUACUCAGGUGGGAACACUUUGUUGGCUUCCUGAUCGCUCACUUCCACUCUGAUCUCAGCUCCUUGAAGGUUUUGGGGUGGGGCUCAGGCCUUCUCGUCACCAGAAGGCGGAGAUAGCUCUACACACUCAUCGCUUUAUGCUGGGAGAACUUUGGAAGGGAGGAAUUCACUUGCUGAUACCUCUGUUGGACAUAGGUAUAAUGUGCCUAGUUCUGUGGCAGAAACGGAUGUGGGACUCAGGUAUGGAGAAGGGUGCCAAGAAAGUAAAAUGCGGAGUUAUGGUUGCAUAUGAGUUCAGAAAGAAAUAGCCCUAGCACAGCCAGGAUGCUGAGAAGUGCAGAGGCAAGGGGCCAAAUAAAAAGGUAAGGGGAAAAACCUCUCCACCCACCCGCCUCACCUAGUCUCCACUGCCACUGCAGCCGCCAUUGCUCCCAGCUGGGAGAGAGCAGGAUUCCUCAGCAGCUGUGACCUUAAUCUCUGAAACACUAUGUUAACUGUUAGGACUUAGAGCAAAACUUGGAGAAAAGAAAAAAAAAAGUUUAGUAAAACACUGUAUUGUUUUGUUGCUACUAUGUCUGACUGUAUAG